AUGAACGCUGGCGGUGUGCCUAACACAUGCAAGUCGAGCGAACCCUUCGGGGUGAGCGGCGGACGGGUGAGUAACGCGUGGGUAACCUGCCCUGUACACACGGAUAACAUACCGAAAGGUAUGCUAAUACGAGAUGAUAUAUAAAAGUUGCAUGACUUUUAUAUCAAAGCUUUUGCGGUACAGGAUGGACCCGCGUCUGAUUAGCUAGUUGGUAAGGUAACGGCUUACCAAGGCGACGAUCAGUAGCCGACCUGAGAGGGUGAUCGGCCACACUGGAACUGAGACACGGUCCAGACUCCUACGGGAGGCAGCAGUGGGGAAUAUUGCACAAUGGGCGAAAGCCUGAUGCAGCAACGCCGCGUGAGCGAUGAAGGCCUUCGGGUCGUAAAGCUYUGUCCUCAAGGAAGAUAAUGACGGUACU
rnacentral:rRNA from 1 species